rnacentral:rRNA from 1 species
CCUACGGGUGGCUGCAGUAAGGAAUAUUGGUCAAUGGACGAAAGUCUGAACCAGCCAUGCCGCGUGGAGGAUGAAGGUCCUCUGGAUUGUAAACUUCUUUUAUAUGGGACGAAAAAAGGCCUUUCCAGGUCGUCUGACGGUACCAUAUUAAUAAGCACCGGCUAACUCCGUGCCAGCAGCCGCGGUAAUACGGAGGGUGCAAGCGUUACCCGGUUUCACGGGUGCGUAGGGGGGUUGGUAAGUGUGUGGUGAAAUCCCCGAGCUUAACUUGGGAACUGCCAUUGAUACUAUCAGUCUUGAAUACCGUGGAGGUCAGCGGAAUAUGUCAUGUAGCGGUGAAAUGCUUAGAUAUGACAUAGAACACCAAUUGCGAAGGCAGCUGGCUACACGAGUAUUGACACUGAGGCACGAAAGCGUGGGGAUCAAACAGGAUUAGAUACCCGUGUAGUC